rnacentral:lncRNA from 1 species
UAUUUAUUCUUUUCUUUUUGGGGUUUCGUGUUGUUUAAUAAUUUUUAUUUCUGAUAAUUAGAAGAAAGUCAUAUUUAUGGUCCUUCGUACGUAUUUGAACCAACCUUUUUGACUUCAUUCCCCUAAUUCCCUAUUUUAUAUUUUUCCUCCAUUUUCCAAUUUAUUCCUUAUUUUCUUUUAAUAUUCACACGAAAUUUAGAAAAGGAAAAAAAGAAAAAAAAAAAAGGCAAUGAUGUGCAUUACACAUGCCCCUAUGCUUCUGCUUAUUUCCAGUUUGUCCUCUUUACUUUUUUUCAUCUUUCUGAUUUCUUGCUGCAUAUUGAAAACAAAUCAAAAUCAUUUCCCCUAUGUGGUAGCCCAUUUAAAGCACUAGUUGCGGAUUCUUGAUCUUUUCAAAAAUAAAUCUCAGCAAAAUUCAGAG